rnacentral:rRNA from 1 species
GUCUAUGGCCAUACCACCCUGAACACCCCCGAUCUUGUCUGAUCUCAGAAGCUAAGCAGGGUCAGGCAGGCUUGGUAUUUGAAUGGGAAAAGCUGUAUCAGCUAGUCU